rnacentral:tRNA from 2 species
GCCUUGAUGAUGAAAUGGUAGACAUAUAAGACUCAAAAUCUUAGGCUUUAAGCGUGGAGGUUCGAGUCCUCUUCAAGGCA